GACGAACGCUGGCGGCGUGCUUAACACAUGCCAGUCGAACGGAAAGGCCCUGCUUUUGUGGGGUGCUCGAGUGGCGAACGGGUGCGUAACACGAGAGUAACCUGCCCUUGACUUUGGGAUAACUUCAGGAAACUGGGGCUACUACCGGAUAGGAGCUCCUGCUGCAUGGUGGGCGUUGGAAAGUUUCGGCGGUUGGGGAUGGACUCGCGGCUUAUCAGCUUGUUGGUGGGGUAGUGGCUUACCAAGGCUUUGACGGGUAGCCGGCCUGAGAGGGUGACCGGCCACAUUGGGACUGAGAUACGGACCAGACUCCUACGGGAGGCAGCAGUGGGGAAUAUUGCACAAUGGGCGGAAGCCUGAUGCAGCAACGCCGCGUGCGGGAUGACGGCCUUCGGGUUGUAAACCGCUUUCGCCUGUGACGAAGCGUGAGUGACGGUAAUGGGUAGAGAAGCACCGGCUAACUACGUG
rnacentral:rRNA from 1 species